UGCCAGCCGCCGCGGUAAUACGAAUGGGGCAAGCGUUGUUCGGAAUCACUGGGCUUAAAGCGUGCGCAGGCGGACUUGAAAGUCAGGAGUGAAAUCCCAGGGCUCAACCCUGGAACUGCUCUUGAAACUCCAAGUCUAGAAUUCAGUAGAGGUUAGGGGAAUUCCGAGUGUAGAGGUGAAAUUCGCAGAUAUUCGGAGGAACACCAGUGGCGUAGGCGCCUAACUGGACUGAUAUUGACGCUCAGGUACGAAAGCGUGGGGAGCAAACAGGAUUAGAUA
rnacentral:rRNA from 1 species